rnacentral:rRNA from 1 species
GAGUUUGAUCGUGGCUCAGGAUGAACGCUAGCGGCAGGCUUAACACAUGCAAGUCGAGGGGCAGCAUGGGCUUAGCUUGCUAAGUCCGAUGGCGACCGGCGCACGGGUGAGUAACACGUAUCCAACCUGCCUUAUACUCCCGGACAGCCUUCUGAAAGGAAGAUUAAUACGGGAUGGUAUCACGAGCCAGCAUUUUCUCGUGAUUAAAGAAUUUCGGUAUAAGAUGGGGAUGCGUUCCAUUAGAUAGUAGGCGGGGUAACGGCCCACCUAGUCGACGAUGGAUAGGGGUUCUGAGAGGAAGGUCCCCCACAUUGGAACUGAGACACGGUCCAAACUCCUACGGGAGGCAGCA